rnacentral:tRNA from 1 species
GGCUUCGUAGCUCAGCUGGUAGAGCGCUUGCAGCGUUGAUGCAUGGUGUUUCUGCCACUGGUUCGAAUCCAGCCAAAGCCC